rnacentral:rRNA from 1 species
AUUGAACGCUGGCGGCAGGCUUAACACAUGCAAGUCGAGCGAGCGGCGGACGGGUGAGUAAUGUCUGGGAAACAGCCUGAUGGAGGGGGAUACCUACUGGAAACGGUAGAUAUUACCGCAUACCACCAGAGGUGCCCAGAUGUGGUUAGAUAGUAGGUGGGGUAAUGGAUCACCUAGGCUACGAUCCCUAGUUGGUCUGCGUGGAGGACCAGCCACACUUGAGCUGAGAAACGGUCCAGACUCCUACGGGAGGAAGCAGUGGGGAAUAUUGCACAAUGGGCGCAAGCCUGAUGCAGCCAUGCCGCGUGUGUGAAGAAGGCCUUCGGGUUGUAAAGCACUUUCAGCGAGGGGGCGUUACUCGCAGAUGAAGCACCGGCUAGCUCCGUGCCAGCAGCCGCGGUAAUUC